rnacentral:misc_RNA from 1 species
GAUGAAGAACGUAGCGAAAUGCGAUAAGUAAUGUGAAUUGCAGAAUUCAGUGAAUCAUCGAAUCUUUGAACGCACAUUGCGCCCCUUGGUAUUCCAUGGGGCAUGCCUGUUCGAGCGUCAUUUGUACCUUCAAGCUCUGCUUGGUGUUGGGUGUUUGUCUCGCCUCUGCGUGUAGACUCGCCUCAAAACAAUUGGCAGCCGGCGUAUUGAUUUCGGAGCGCAGUACAUCUCGCGCUUUGCACUCAUAACGACGACGUCCAAAAGUACAUUUUUACACUCUUGACCUCGGAUCAGGUAGGGAUACCCGCUGAACUUAAGCAUAUCAAUAAGCGGAGG